rnacentral:rRNA from 1 species
AUGGACUUCAGCAAAUACUUGACGGAGAUAGACACUGCAGAUGCAGUCUCAUCUCACAAUGGUGGUACGCUCAUUGUUGUUACUGGAUCGUUAACCGCGCCUGAUGGCGUUUGCACAAACUUUACGCAGUCGUUCUUCCUUGCACCACAAGAAGGUGGUGGCUGUUUUGUUCUCAAUGACAUAUUUAGAAUUAUGCCUAAAACGUCACGACUUGUGACAAGUCAAUCCGAUAGUCAAGAAAAUGACAUCAAGGAGAAUGUCGGAUCUACAGUUGAAUCAAGAGAGGCAGAACAAGUGAAGACUGGCCAUGUACCAGUGGAGAAUAAGGUUGGAGACUUGGAAGUUCCAAACCCCUCAGCUAAUGUCACAACAUAUGAAAAUUAUGAUGGCACCGAGCCACUUGUGCAAGCGACCAAAGAGGAUCUUGAAGGGACUCAUGAUGCUUUUCCUCCUAAACCUCAACCUCAUAAGGAUGCUACUGGCAGCUCUUACGCAUAA